CGUGUAGGCGGCUCAUCAAGUCUGGUGUGAAAUCGCAGGGCUUAACCCUGCGUAGGCGCUGGAAACUGGUGGGCUGGAGUUCCUGAGGGGAAGCUGGAAUUCCAGGUGUAGGGGUGAAAUCUGUAGAUAUCUGGAAGAACACCGGUGGCGAAGGCGAGCUUCUAUCAGAGGACUGACGCUGAGGCGCGAAAGCGUGGGGAGCAAACAGGAUUAGAUACCCUGGUAGUCCACGCUGUAAACGAUGUGCACUAGGCGUGGGGCACGUACGUGUUCUGUGCCGUAGUUAACGUGAUAAGUGCACCGCCUGGGGAGUAUGCUCGCAAGGGUGAA
rnacentral:rRNA from 1 species